rnacentral:rRNA from 1 species
UGGCUCAGAUUGAACGCUGGCGGCAGGCCUAACACAUGCAAGUCGAGCGGUAACAUUUCUAGCUUGCUAGAAGAUGACGAGCGGCGGACGGGUGAGUAAUGCUUGGGAACAUGCCUUUAGGUGGGGGACAACAGUUGGAAACGACUGCUAAUACCGCAUAAUGUCUACGGACCAAAGUGGGGGACCUUCGGGCCUCACGCCUAAAGAUUGGCCCAAGUGGGAUUAGCUAGUUGGUGAGGUAAUGGCUCACCAAGGCGACGAUCCCUAGCUGGUUUGAGAGGAUGAUCAGCCACACUGGGACUGAGACACGGCCCAGACUCCUACGGGAGGCAGCAGUGGGGAAUAUUGCACAAUGGGCGCAAGCCUGAUGCAGCCAUGCCGCGUGUGUGAAGAAGGCCUUCGGGUUGUAAAGCACUUUCAGUAAGGAGGAAAGGUUGGAUGUUAAUAGCAUUCAGUCUGGACGUA